rnacentral:rRNA from 1 species
UACGUAGGGCGCAAGCGUUGUCCGGAAUUAUUGGGCGUAAAGAGCUCGUAGGCGGCUUGUCACGUCGGGUGUGAAAGCCCGGGGCUUAACCCCGGGUCUGCAUUCGAUACGGGCAGGCUAGAGUGUGGUAGGGGAGAUCGGAAUUCCUGGUGUAGCGGUGAAAUGCGCAGAUAUCUGGAGGAACACCGGUGGCGAAGGCGGCAUCCUGGACCGGUAUUGACGCUGAGGCGCGAAAGCCAGGGGAGCAAAGCGGG